rnacentral:hammerhead_ribozyme from 1 species
UCAUUACUGAGGAGUCCCACAAUAGGACGAAACGGCCGUUCAGUGC